rnacentral:rRNA from 1 species
UUCUAACAGCAUAAGAGAGGUAGUGACAAGAAAUAACAGUACAAGGCAGUUAAAAUGCUUUGUAAUUGGAAUGAUAGAAAUUUAAAUACUUUUUAAAGUAUCAAUUGGAGGGCAAGUCUGGUGCCAGCAGCCGCGGUAAUUCCAGCUCCAAUAGCGUAUAUUAAAAUUGUUGCAGUUAAAAAGCUCGUAGUUGAAUUUUUGCUAAAAAUAACCGGUCUGCUUUUAUUAAUAAAAGUGGUAUCUUGGUGUGUUUCUAG